rnacentral:rRNA from 1 species
UACGUAGGCAGCAAGCGUUGUUCGGAGUUACUGGGCGUAAAGAGUGCGUAGGCGGUGCUCCAAGUCUGUUGUGAAAUCUCCCGGCUUAACUGGGAGGGUGCGGUGGAAACUGGGGUGCUUGAGUAUGGGAGAGGUAAGCGGAAUUCCUGGUGUAGCGGUGAAAUGCGUAGAUAUCAGGAGGAACACCGGUGGCGAAGGCGGUUCUCUGGGCAUUACCUGACGCUGGGGAGCGAAAGUGUGGGGAGCGAACAGG